rnacentral:rRNA from 1 species
UACGUAGGCAGCAAGCGUUGUUCGGAGUUACUGGGCGUAAAGGGUGUGUAGGCGGUUUUUUAAGUUUGGUGUGAAAUCUCCCGGCUCAACUGGGAGGGUGCGCCGAAUACUGAAAGACUAGAGUGCGGGAGAGGAAAGUGGAAUUCCUGGUGUAGCGGUGAAAUGCGUAGAUAUCAGGAGGAACACCGGUGGUGUAGACGGCUUUCUGGACCGUAACUGACGCUGAGACGCGAAAGCGUGGGGAGCAAACAGG